rnacentral:rRNA from 1 species
UACGGAGGGUGCAAGCGUUAUCCGGAAUCACUGGGUGUAAAGGGUGCGUAGGCGGCCUGUUAAGUCAGGAGUGAAAGGCCACAGCUUAACUGUGGGAUUGCUUUUGAUACUGGCGGGCUUGGAUUAGGACGAGGUUGGCGGAAUGUGGCAAGUAGCGGUGAAAUGCAUAGAUAUGCCAUAGAAUACCGAUUGCGAAGGCAGCUGACUAGACCUAUAUUGACGCUGAGGCACGAAAGCGUGGGGAGCGAACAGG